rnacentral:rRNA from 1 species
AGAAUCAACGCUGGCGGCGUGCCUAACACAUGCAAGUCGAACGAGAAGGUGGAGCAAUCCAUGAGUAAAGUGGCGCACGGGUGAGUAACACGUGAAUGAUCUACCUCCGAGUGGGGAAUAACUGAGAGAAAUCUUAGCUAAUACCGCAUAACACUUACGAGUCAAAGCAGCAAUGCGCUUGGAGAGGAGUUCGCGGCCGAUUAGUUAGUUGGCGGGGUAAUGGCCCACCAAGACGAUGAUCGGGUA